AUAUCGGCUGUGAAAAGAAGGAGUAAAAAAGCUUUAUCUUGCGAAGAGACCCGCCGGGUGGUGUAAGGCGGGGAAGAAGGCUUUUUGAAUACAUCUUGGAGCCGCGGAGCUGAAUUUUUAAGUAGGCUUCGCCGUAUUUGCGCACGUUACAGCGCCAGGGUAUUAUCGUACCCGUGAGGCCAUGGCUGUGAGGCUGUGGUGAAUUGAGGUGGUACCGCGGAUUUUCCGCCCUCUGC
rnacentral:ncRNA from 1 species